GGUGCUGUAGACUAAUUGGCUAGGUCAUCUCUACGGAGUCGAUGAGAUGCGGGUUCGAAUCUCGUCGGCGCCC